CUUUUCAUAAAUUUUGUAAAAUAUUCCAUAAAAAGGAGUAAAUUCUGACGAUAAUACUAAAUUAAUAACAUUGUCACGAAAAACCCGACUUAACGAUAAAAUGUUUGUGACUAAAUUGAGUAUAUAAAUGGUGAAAAUGUUCGUGGGUGUUAAUAGUUUCAAAAAACCUAAACAUAGCAGUAUGCAAGAGACAAUGAAAGCGACUUUUCUCUUACUGUCCAUGAUUUACCUCACAACAUUCUUUAUUGCAUCAUCUGAAGCGUACAUAAUUUGGGUACCUCCAAAUAGACCCCCACGGCCUCAGAACGGAUAAUGGUCCACUUCGUAAAACCAAAAUGUUGGAGUUGGUAUCAAGAAAGGCUUGCAGAUUGUAUUUAUCAUAAUAAGAAUAAUAUGUAACCUUACGAGACAUGAAAUAUAAUAGAUGAAGCAUA